rnacentral:rRNA from 1 species
AGCUCCAAGAGCGUAUAUUAAAGUUGUUGCAGUUAAAAAGCUCGUAGUUGGAUUUCUGGUACAUUGCGCCUGGCCCGCGGCAGUAAUGCCUGUGAGUGCCGGAGCGCGUUGACCAUCCUUCUAGAAAACGUUUCUACCCUUAAUUGGGCCGGACUCGCGAUCUAGAUCUUUUACUUUGAAAAAAUUAGAGUGUUCAAAGCAGGCUCUUGCUGUGAAUACAUUAGCAUGGAAUAAUAAUCUAGGACUUCGGUUCUAUUUUGUUGGUUUCUAGAAUUGAAGUAAUGAUUGAUAGGGAUAGUUGGGGGUGCUAGUAUUGGCCGGCCAGAGGUGAAAUUCUUGGAUUCGGUCAAGACUAACUUAUGCGAAAGCAUUCACCAAGGAUGUCUUCUUUAAUCAAGAA